UACAUCAUGGCCCCUUAUGUUCUGGGCUACACACGUGCUACAAUGGCCGGUACAGACGGACGCAAAGCCGCGAGGUGGAGCAAAUCCUAAAAAGCCGGUCUCAGUUCGGAUUGCAGGCUGCAAUUCGCCUGCAUGAAGUCGGAAUCGCUAGUAAUCGCAGGUCAGCAUACUGCGGUGAAUACGUUCCCGGGCCUU
rnacentral:rRNA from 1 species